UACGUAGGUGGCAAGCGUUGUCCGGAUUUACUGGGCGUAAAGAGCGCGCAGGCGGUCGUUCAAGUCGCGUGUGAAAGCCCCCGGCUCAACUGGGGAGGGUCACGCGAUACUGGUCGACUCGAGGGCAGGAGAGGGUAGUGGAAUUCCCGGUGUAGCGGUGAAAUGCGUAGAUAUUGGGAGGAACACCAGUGGCGAAGGCGGCUCACUGGACCGGAACUGACGCUGAGGCGCGAAAGCGUGGGGAGCAAACAGG
rnacentral:rRNA from 1 species